UGCGGCAGCGCGCUGAGGGUUGGCGCAUGCGCACAGCGGGUUUCGGGUUUGCUGCUUCAGAGGGUGUUGAUCGCGGUGGGCGAGAGAUGAGAGCAAAGCGAUGGGUUUAUUGACUAUUAGCUUUAUUGGCUUUAUUGACUAUUAGCCCUGUGCCAGAGUGCUCACACAGCAUCCUCUGCUCUGCUCUGCUGCUGUCUGCAGGUAUCCAACCCAUUUAUGGCUUAAGAAGCAAACUACCAACGAAACAAAACUCAAACCCACCAAAUGUGUGAGAAAAAACAAACUACCGCGUUAGGAAUGACAGGCAGCUGCAAACACAGGCCGAUCUUAGGAAGAGCUGUCCAACAAUGAUGUGUUGCCUCCUUGGUUCAUCAUAGGAUAAAAUUCAGCUGUCACAGCAACCCAGCAAGAGCCAGCCUUCUGAUAGAGGUACAGCAAUGGCCUGCAACAAGGAGUGUCUGCAUGGUGCAUGAUUUCCAGGUCAGCCCCCACAUUAACUGGGGAGAAGAUUUGUUUCCGUUUGUUUUAGCUUCAAUACAAAUGUGUUUCUAAACCAGCA